CGUGUGUAUAUGAGUUGAUAAUGGUGAUAGUACUCUGUUAAUGUUGAAAGUGAAGGUGAUACAGCUCUGAAGAGAGUGAAGGUGAGAAAAUAAGCACCAUUGUUAAGCUUUAUGCAUGUUACAUUAUCAGCAUAGCAACUUGUACAAGGAAACAUUUUCACUUCUUUUUUAAUAGAUGAGCUAUCAGAGGAUCAGAGAAACAAGAACCUCACCCUUGGAUAAGGCCUUGUCCAGGCAGUGGCAGCGAGACUGGGAGGAAAAAUCUCACCCUGCUCCUCAGGGGUAAAGCUGACAGCUCUCCUGGAGGUAUACAGGAAGGCAUUCUGGCUUCCAUGCGGAGAUCCUCUGUACAAGCACAACUUGGUGGCAUCCUGACUGCCUCAGAGAAGCACCAUCAUCACCUUUGAGAUGGAGUCUUAGAAGGCUUCUUCCAGCCAGUUGUAAGCAGCCCUGUAUUUAGUGACAUCAUAUUGGCGGCUCAAAUUACCCAUGGCUGGCAAAUGCUACAAAUCAGUAUCUACAGAGGAGAAAGGCCCACUAGAAGGAUAUUGGAAUGGAGACCUAGUACCCAACAGAGGU